GGUCGCCCCAACUAAAAGGCAAGCAGGGAACUUUUUUCCUUUUAGUGUUAACAUGUAAAUCUAGUAAACUGUAUUUAGAUUUCUAUAAAAUCAGCUCUGGAUGCAAAAAUGAAUGCUUGAUUUACCAGGGGCCGGUUUCCUCAAGAAGCUGGCAAGAGGCGCACGGUGCCACGGCCCUUGUCCCUCUGACGGCCUCCCUCUGCAGACACCUCCCCAGCUGGGAGUUUCACGUGGGAUCCCACGAAUCCAGUUUUAAGGUGAUUUUCUAAAUCCCUAAACCUCGGGCCCUCCUUUGAGGCCCUGUUACCUAAUACCUACUGAGCUCACGUGAUUGCCUCAGAGCCCAGGGUCUUCGGUGUGUCUGGGGCCCGCUGACUGAACUGAGUCUUCCUGUCCUGUCGUUAUAAAUCCCAG
rnacentral:lncRNA from 1 species